GCCCGCCCGCGUCAGCUGACCUGGCUUCCGCGGGCCCUGCGCCCUCGCGCUCCCGGGCCCCGGCCGCCCCCACGCCCCACGCCGCGCCCGCCGGCCCGGCCCUCCCUCCCCAGCUGGCCCGGCCGCCGCGGCCUCUUCCGCCCGGCGCCCGCGCAUUCCUGCCAUUCCCCCGAGUCGGCCCGCGGGCUACGGCCGCCUGCGGAGCGCAGGAACCUUCACCUCCCGAGGACAGGCGCCUUCCCCUCGGGACCCGGCUCCCCUGCUGCCUGCGCCGCUCUGUCCCCCUGCCGCUGCCCAAGCCUCCAGCAGGGGCCACCGAGGGCUCCAGGAGCACCCCAGGCCCGUUCUUCUGGCCCACAGCGCCCCUCCUGUGACCCUCAGCGACCCUCCUGUCCUGCCCUCCGGCGGCGCGGCUGUCUGGAGACUCUGCACCGUCGCGGCCUCGCAGCCUCGCAGCCCCGCGCCGGGUGGGGAGGGGAGGGUGGCGUUCCUGAGUCCGCGGAGGAAAGGGUCGCAGCUGCAGUCGCGCCAGCCCUCGGGCCUACAUCCGCUCCGCCGCGACGCGGCUCACAAACUAGGGAGGGGAGAAGGGAAGAAAGACCCGAUUCGGGAACACGGCUUUGUCCCUGGAACUGUACCUCAUGUCCCCUCACUUAAUCCUCCCAAGACCUGUGGGGCGUGUCGUCAUUUUAGGGCUGGAGAUGAGGAAACCGAGGCUCGGAGAGAUGAAGCGUUGUACGGCCACCGAGCGGCUGCUUUGCAACGAAGCCAAAGCCAACGUUUUGUUCUUAGCGGCGGUCGUUUGAGCCACGCCUCACCGCAACGAGUCUGCCAUCAGCCAAGAGAUGGAGUGAAGGUACCUGAGCGCAGGAACCAUGGUCUUCAUUGCUGCCUCAGCAUUAGCGGAAGUGCCACGGGCCGGCUCCCAGGGGGCCAGAGUUUCCCAGGAACACCAUUGAGUACCACUGAACUAGAGUCUGCAAGUUAAAAGAGAACUUACUUGAAGGUCGAUGUUUUCUCUUGCUGAUUCCAUCUCGCUGCCCUCAAGUCCCUUCACACGCACCGGGUGCCGGGAACAGACUGCGUGGGCUCCUCCAGGCUCCGCCGUCUGAGUCUCUGCUGCUUUCUUCGGGUGGGAGAGAGCACACAGCUGGCGGGACAGACCUGCCAUUCAUCCCUCUGAUGUGGGAUGCCCGUCUUGGCUGCAGCCUCUGGGGGAGGUGUGCACCUGCACACACGUGUGAGUGUAUGUGUGUGCACAUGUGUGUGCUCCAGGAGGUGGCACAUGGCACACUGAUAGGUGACCUUUUGAGUUGGUAGUGACAGCAUCAUUUUCACCAGUGGCUCCAGUGACCUUCCAGUCCCAGCGGAGCCAUCUGAGGUCACCCAGCCUGCUUUGAGCUAGUAGCUUUAUGACUGGCAAAGAAAUCCUGCAUGUUUAUCAAGCAAAUUGAAAAACAGCCUGAGGACAACGCUAUCUGACUUCACCGCUGGGUCCAGUCCCCAGUCGCCACGGGUGGAGUGACCUCCAGCACAGUCUCAAUACUGAGGCAGAGGGAUUUCCGUUGUUCUUUGCUUUGUUCCCUAUAUCCCUAAAAGUUUUUAAAAAAAUUGUAGUUUACCUAAUAGGCUCCAAAGCAUAGGCUUUGUUCUGCAAAGUGAGUGAACAAUACGUUUUUACUGACGGAUUGUUUGAUUCCUUCAACUCCUCCCUUGAUUAGCCAUAGAGGGAGCAGGGAGUAGUUGUACCUUCGAAGCUUGUUUAUGCAAACAGUGGUAUUCUCCCUACUUUUAAAAUAAAAUUACCAGGAGGGAGUCUUUUUUUAGAAAGUUUUUUUUUUCCUCUCCUGUUUACCUUAGAGCCCAAAACUCUUCUGGCUUGUUCCUGAAGCAAGGUUUAGACACAAGCUUGUGCAGGUGUGGGUGUGGGUAUGUCUGUAGACGUGCAUGGCAGGGUGUUAACCUGUAAUCCAAUUCAGGGCUUGAAGAGGUGCGGGCAGGAGGAAGACAGGCAGAGUCAACACGUUUACCCUCACCACAUUCAAAUGUAAAAAAAAAAAAAGGCGAUUUCUUCAGUUCUAUGAAAUGCCUUUAUAAGUUCCCAUCCCUCUGGACAGUGGUGCGAGGGAGGGUUGGAUGAUUGGAUGGGGGCCAUAUUUUAGUCUAAUCUAUGAAGCAUAGUUGGAUUUAAUCAUUUAAAUGGUAAACAGUCCACUUUAGACACAAUGCUCAGUCUUUCGGAUUUGCAGAAGAUGGCACCUAGGUGCACAGGAGGGCGGGGUGGGGACGGUUCUUGCAUCUAUCCUGUGGCCUCUCCAUCUCGGCUCCUUUCUGUUCUGGAGCUGCUGGGCCCACGGGCCCGCCCGAAUUGCUGACUGCUGAGGAGACACAGGUCCUGCUCCUGGGUCUUCUGCUGGCCUUGGUGGCUGAUGUCUGAUAUUAGGCCAGAGUCACUCAUGGGUGAUUCUCUUUCUGCCUUUGAGAUCCAGUGUUCUCCCUUGCUGUCUGCGCUACCUUGGCUCGUGGCAAUGUGGACCAUCCUGAGACCUGGCUUUGACUUGUAUGUGCCCCCAUCCCACUGUAUCCGCUCAGUGGCCCACAUCUCUAAGAUAAGCCCCUCGAAAUUUUCCUGUGAGAUGCUUGACCAGUGCUCCUGAGCCCCCUUAGGCACAUGGGGACUGAGGGCUGCUGACGAAGGGCAGGGGAAAGGCAAGCUCAGCCCCACUUCCAGCAGAGUUUGCUCUGAUGUGGCUGCUCCAACUGACACAGGGCAGUCUGCGAGGUGAUCUCCUUCCACAUUCCUGAAUGGAAAUGAGACCUGGAACCCACUCUUCUCAGCACUCCUUAAAAAGUCUACCAGUAAUAUCUAUCACCCCACCGCUCAUAAUAAUACCACUAUGUAUCAAGCACUAUUCUAAGCACUUUUUUUUUUUUGAGAUGGAGUCUCGCUCUGUUGCACAAGCUGGAGUGCAGUGGCGCCAUCUCGGCUCACUGCAACUUCUGCCUCCUGGGUUCAAACGAUUCUCCUGCCUCAGCCUCCCGAGUAGCUGAGAUUACUUCUUCCCAUAGUCCCCUUAAUCUAGAAUCAGAAAAUGUACGCUUUGUCUUCUUUUUUUUUUUUUUUUUCCUGUUUGGCUGGGAUGUAUCUGAUGUAGAACUCUAUGACAACAAUUCAAAGGGAAAUGAAGAAAUUUAGAAAAUCCUCUCUCUCAAGAAAACCUGGUUGUCAAAAAUAUUGUCUUGGCUGGGCAGCAUGGCUCAUACCUGUGAUCCCAGCACUUCGGGAGGCCAAAGCCGGAGGAUCUCUUGAGCCCAGGAGUUCAAGACCAGCUUGAGCAACAUAGUGAGAUCCCAUCUGUAGAAGAACUUUUUGGCUGGACAUGGUGGCUCACACCUGUAAUCCCAGCAUUGUGGGAAGUAGAGGCAGGAGGUCACUUGAGCCCAGGGGUUCAAGACCAGCCUGGGAAACACAGUGAGAUCCUGUCUCUACAAAAAAAAAAUUUUUUUUUAAUUUAGCUAGAUGUGGCAGCUUGCAGCACCUGUAGUCCCAGGUACUUGGGAGGCUGAGGUGGGAGGAUUGCUUGAGCCUGGGAGCUGAAGGCUGCAGUGAGCUAUGAUCAUGACACUGUACUCCAGCCUGAGUUGACAAAGCAAGACCAUGUCUUAAAAAAAAAAAAAAACUUUCUGGAAAACCUUAUUUCGGAUGCCAGAAGCAAAAUAUUAACUAUUUAUUUCUCUUUGCACUCCUGUUGUGAAAAUCCUCAUUAUCUUUUAAAUAAUAUGGAUACAUCUGGCUGAAUAGAGGGAAACAGGAACAAAAAAAUGCAAAAGAGAAAAGUACUCGAAUAUAUUUCAAAAAAUUUCCUAUUAAUAAGCACAUUGGUUUGAAAAGGAAACAGCUGUAAUUGGUUAUAAUAAUGGUUUUGGUUUGGCAAGAUCUUUCUGGAUUUGGACCUUUCCCCAUCUCAUAAGCAUCAUUUGGAAGUAAACAGAAAAAAGGCUUUGGAAAAUGGUUUAUCUACCAUAUCACGCUGUAACCCUGGACCAGGGGUCAGCAAAGUUUUUCUUUUUCAUUUUUCCCUUUUAUAAAAUUCAAAUUGCUAUAUGAAGCUUUUUUAAUUUUAAUUUUAAUUUUUUGAGACGGGGUCUCACUCUGUCACCCAGGCUGGUGUGCAGUGGCACAGUCUCUGCUCACUGCAAUCUCUGCCUCCUGGGCUUAAGUGAUCCUCCCACCUCAGGCCCCAACCCCCAGCCCAGUAGCUGGGAUUACAGGCGCGUGCCACCAUGCCUGGCUAAUUUCUGUAUUUUUUGUAGAGACGGGGGUUUCGCCAUGUUGCCCAGGCUGGCCUCAAACUCCUGAGCUCAAGCGAUCCGCUCACCUCGAUCUCUCAAAGUGCUGGAAUUACAGGCGUGGGUCACCAUGCCCAGCCAGUAAACUUUUUCUGUAAGGGGCCAGAGAGCCAAUAUUUUUUAGCCUUUGUGUGUCAUAUGGUUUCUGCUGCGAUGACUCACUUCUAUAAUAAUGUGAAAGCAGUCAUAGACAACAUGUAAAUGAACGAGUGUGGGAGUGUUCCAA
rnacentral:lncRNA from 1 species